rnacentral:rRNA from 1 species
AGUGAACGCUGGCGGUAGGCCUAACACAUGCAAGUCGAACGGCAGCACAGUAAGAGCUUGCUCUUACGGGUGGCGAGUGGCGGACGGGUGAGGAAUACAUCGGAAUCUACUUUUUCGUGGGGGAUAACGUAGGGAAACUUACGCUAAUACCGCAUACGACCUACGGGUGAAAUCAGGGGAUCUUCGGACCUUGCGCGAUUGAAUGAGCCGAUGUCGGAUUAGCUAGUUGGCGGGGUAAAGGCCCACCAAGGCGACGCUCCGUAGCUGGUCUGAGAGGGUGAGCAGCCACACUGGAACUGAGACACGGUCCAGACUCCUACGGGAGGCGGCAGUGGGGAAUAUUGGGCAAUAGGCGCAAGCCUGAUACAGCCAUACCGCGUGGGUGAAGAAGGCCUUCGGGUUGUAAAACCCUUUUGUUGGGGAAGAAAAGAAGCAGAUGAAAACCCCGCUGUUUUGACGGUACCCAAAGAGAAAGCACCGGCUAACUUCGUG